UCCAGAUUGAGUUUCUAUCUGUUGUUUUUCCUGUUUCCUGUGUUCUUCAUUUUUGUCUUCGUUCCUCUUCGUUACUGUGUCUGCUCCUGAGUCUACAGUGUCAGUGCAGCGAAGAAGCGAGUCCAAACAGCAGUGAAAUAACAAGAGCUUGCAUAGAUGAGGAAAUAUCAUCAGAUAAUCUUUACUUCCAUUGAGAGAGAUGGUCAAUUUCCAGUCAGAAUGGGAGGAGAAAAUCGUUUAUAAAGCAUAUGAGGACAGUGGGGAGCGCUAAUAUUGGCCAAUGUGUCAAUAAUAUCUUGAGAAGAUUAAUGAUUGAUGAGCUGGCCAUGAAAUUCUCAUAUACUGGCCGUGCAUCAAACGGGAACACAAAAACUCCAUUUCAUGGGAGUGAGAUAUCGAAAUGCAUACUGAUUGCUGUUCAAACGUUUUUCCGGUGACAUUGCAAUUGAAGUGAAAUAUGGAUCGUUGGCGUCGAAAUGGUUUCAACAAGCCAGAACAAGGUUGUUGAGAAGGACCAAGAGCAGAGAGACUACACCUCAUGAAGCUCAAAUCGAGGACGAUAGCAGUUCAAAGUAAAAAUAUAUAAUAAGUUAUAAAUUAAAAGUUCAAUUUUUGUAAUAUUUAAUAAAAAUCAUUGCAUUUUAUUGAAAA